rnacentral:rRNA from 1 species
UACAGAGGGGGCAAGCGUUGUUCGGAAUUACUGGGCGUAAAGGGCGCGUAGGCGGCCUUCUAAGUCGAACGUGAAAUCCCUGGGCUCAACCCAGGAACUGCGUCCGAUACUGGGAGGCUUGAAUCCGGGAGAGGGAUGUGGAAUUCCAGGUGUAGCGGUGAAAUGCGUAGAGAUGUGGAGGAACACCGAUGGCGAAGGCAGCCCCCUGGGCUAACACUGACGCUCAUGCACGAAAGCGUGGGGAGCAAACAGG